rnacentral:misc_RNA from 1 species
UUUCCGUAGGUGAACCUGCGGAAGGAUCAUUAUUGUAUAACCGAGGUGCGAGGGCCGUCGCUGACCCGAAAGGUCGUGCACGCCCGAGUGCCCUCACACACAUCCAUCUCACCCCUAUGUGCACCACCGCGUGGGUCCCCCUUUGGCUUGUUCGGAGGGGGGCUUACGUUUUCACACAAACUUUGUAUGCAGAGUAGAAUGUAUUUUUUGUUUUUGCGAUCACGCAAUCAAUACAACUUUCAACAACGGAUCUCUUGGCUCUC